UCAGCUUUAGCUCAGUGGUAGAGCGUGGGAUUGCAGAUCCUAAGGUCACUCGUUCGAACCGUUAGUAAUCUAAA
rnacentral:tRNA from 1 species